rnacentral:snRNA from 1 species
ACCACCACAUCGAGGCACAUGGGAACCAUACAGAAUUGAUUAGCAUAGCUCCUGUGCAAGGACACGUAAAUUCUUGAAGCUUUCCAUAUUAAA